GACGAACGCUGGCGGCGUGCCUAACACAUGCAAGUCGAACGGAAAGGCCCUGCUUUUGUGGGUUGCUCGAGUGGCGAGCGUGUGAGUAACACGUGUGUAACCUGCCCUUUACUUUGGGAUAACUUCAGGAAACUGGGGCUAAUACCGGAUAGAAGCUCCUGCUGCAUGGUGGGGGUUGGAAAGUUUCGGCGGUUGGGGAUGGACUCGCGGCUUAUCAGCGUGUUGGUGGGGUAGUGGCUUACCAAGGCUUUGACGGGUAGCCGGCCUGGGAGGGUGACCGGCCACAGUGGGACUGAGAUACGGCCCAGACUGCUACGGGAGGCAGCAGUGGGGAAUAUUGCACAAUGGGCGGAAGCAUGAUGCAGCAACGCCGCGUGCGGGAUGACGGCCUUCGGGUUGUAAACCGCGUUCGCCUGUGACGAAGCGUGAGUGACGGUAAUGGGUAAAGAAGCACCGGCUAACUACGUG
rnacentral:rRNA from 1 species